rnacentral:rRNA from 1 species
GCAUAUCAAUAAGCGGAGGAAAAGAAACCAACAGGGAUUGCCUCAGUAACGGCGAGUGAAGCGGCAACAGCUCAAAUUUGAAAUCUGGCCCUAGGCCCGAGUUGUAAUUUGCAGAGGAUGCUUUUGGUGCGGUGCCUUCCAAGUUCCCUAGAACGGGACGCCAGAGAGGGUGAGAGCCCCGUACAGUUGGACACCAAGCCUUUGUAAAGCUCCUUCGACGAGUCGAGUAGUUUGGGAAUGCUGCUCAAAAUGGGAGGUAUAUUUCUUCUAAAGCUAAAUACCGGCCAGAGACCGAUAGCGCACAAGUAGAGUGAUCGAAAGAUGAAAAGCACUUUGAAAAGAGGGUUAAACAGCACGUGAAAUUGUUAAAAGGGAAGCGCUUGUGACCAGACUUGCGUCCGGUGAAUCACCCAGCUCUCGCGGCUGGGGCACUUCGCCGGCUCAGGCCAGCAUCAGCUCGCUGUCGGGGACAAAAGCUUCAGGAACGUAGCUCUCUUCGGGGAGUGUUAUAGCCUGUUGCAUAAUACCCUUCGGCGGGCUGAGGUACGCGCUCCGCAAGGAUGCUGGCAUAAUGGUCAUCAGCGACCCGUCUUGAAACACGGACCAAGGAGUCAACCUUAUGUGCGAGUGUUCGGGUGUCAAACCCCUACGCGUAAUGAAAGUGAACGCAGGUGAGAGCUUCGGCGCAUCAUCGACCGAUCCUGAUGUUCUCGGAUGGAUUUGAGUAAGAGCAUAUAGGGUUGGACCCGAAAGAAGGUGAACUAUGCGUGUAUAGGGUGAAGCCAGAGGAAACUCUGGUGGAGGCUCGCAGCGGGUUCUGACGUGCAAAUCGAUCGUCAAAUAUGCGCAUGGGGGCGAAAGACUAAUCGAACCUUUCUAGUAGCUGGUUUCCGCCGAAGUUUCC